GGUAUCGCCGUUAGUCAUGUGCAAAUAUGGAUAGCUGUUUUAGCCGUCUUUAUUGACUGGUUCAUAAGAGUUAUCAGAUAUCACUUUGAUUAAAUUAGAGUGCUUAAAGCAAGUGUGUUACUUGGAUAUAAAUGCAUGGAAUGAUGGAAUAUGUUGUUAUUCUAUUUGUUGGUUUUUGAAUGAUAAAAUGAUUGAAAGGAACUGUUGGGGGCAUUCGUAUUGUUGUGAGAGAGGUGAAAUUCUUAGACCACAGCAAGACGAACUACUGCGAAAGCAUUUGCCAAGAAUGUUUUCAUUGAUCAAGAACGAAAGUUAGAGGUUCGAAGGCGAUCAGAUACCGCCCUAGUUCUAACCAUAAACUACGCCAACUAGCAAUUUGCUUUGUAUUUUUUAUGACUAAGUGAGAGGCCACGGGAAACCUAAGUAGGGUUAUGGGGGAAGUAUGGUUGCAAAGCUGAAACUUAAAGGAAUUGACGGAAGGGCACCACCAGGAGUGGAGCCUGCGGCUUAAUUUGACUCAACACGGGAAAACUUACCUGGUCCUGACACUAGAAGGAUUGACAGAUUGAUAGCUCUUUCUUGAUUUGGUGGAUGGUGGUGCAUGGCCGUUCUUAGUUGGUGGAGUGAUUUGUCUGGUUAAUUCCGAUAACGAACGAGACUCUAGCCUAUUAAAUAAUACACGGAAUUUUAUCUUCCGCGGUAUUUCUUAGUGGGAUCAAGCG
rnacentral:rRNA from 1 species